UAUUGGACAAUGGGCGCAAGCCUGAUCCAGCAAUACCGCGUGUGUGAAGAAGGCCUUAGGGUUGUAAGGCACUUUCAAUUGGGAGGAAAACCUGCCGGUCAAUACCCGGUAGCUUGACAUUACCUUUAGAAGAAGCACCGGCUAACUCCGUGCCAGCAGCCGCGGUAAUACGGAGGGUGCGAGCGUUAAUCGGAAUUACUGGGCGUAAAGCGUGCGUAGGCGGUUCGUUAAGUCAGAUGUGAAAGCCCUGGGCUCAACCUGGGAACUGCAUUUGAAACUGGCGGACUAGAGUUUAGUAGAGGGGAGUGGAAUUUCAGGUGUAGCGGUGAAAUGCGUAGAUAUCUGAAGGAACACCAGUGGCGAAGGCGACUCUCUGGACUAGAACUGACGCUGAGUACGAAA
rnacentral:rRNA from 1 species